CGCCUGUUUAACAAAAACAUGUCUUUUUGAAUUUUUUUUAAAGUCUAGCCUGCCCCCUGAAUAAUUUUAAAUGGCCGCAGUAUACUAACUGUGCAAAGGUAGCAUAAUCAUUAGUCUUUUAAUUGAAGGCUGGUAUGAAUGGUUGGACGAGAUAUUAACUGUUUCAUAAAAAUUUAUAAUAGAUUUUUAUUUUUUAGUCAAAAAGCUAAAAUAUAUUUAAAAAACGAGAAGCCCCUAUAAAACUUUAUAUUUAGGUUAUUAUAAUUUUAUAGAUUUUUUUUGUAAUAAUAAUUGAUAAUAUUUUAUUGGGGUGAUAUUAAAAUUUGAUAAACUUUUAAUUGUUUAAAUCAUUAAUUUAUGAAUAAUUGAUCCGUUAUUAGCGAUUAAAAAAAUAAGUUACUUUAGGGAUAACAGCGUAAUUUUUUUGGAGAGUUCAUAUCGAUAAAAAAGAUUGCGACCUCGAUGUUGGAUUAAGGUAUAAUUUUAGGUGUAGCCGCUUAAAUUUUAAGUCUGUUCGACUUUUAAAUUCUUACGUGAUCUGAGUUCAGACCGG
rnacentral:rRNA from 1 species